CUGUGAAGUUAACUAAUGGAGUCAGACAGAGAAAUACUACAGACCAGGAAUUCUGCCUUUUCUGCAAAGCCUCUGGAUUCACUUUCACUGAAAACAGCAUAAGCUUGAUCCAGCAGGCUUCAUGACAGGGGUGGGUGUGGGUAAUAACAAUAAUUCAAAUAGAAGUUCUCAGUGGGACUCUCCUUGAGUAAAAAGAUGAUUAACAAUCCUCAAAUACACUCAGUUCAGGAGAUUCUCUUUUAAGAUGAUUAACCUGAGAGCUCAGGAAAAGUCCGUGUAUUACUUUGAGGG
rnacentral:lncRNA from 1 species